rnacentral:rRNA from 1 species
UAACGAAUAUUGGACAAUGGGCGCAAGCCUGAUCCAGCGACGCCGCGUGUAGGAUGAAGUCCUUCGGGAUGUAAACUACUGUCAGGGACCACCAAGCAAUCCGGGCAAAUAGUCCGGUGCGCUGAGGAAUCCCAGAGGAAGUCACGGCUAACUUCGUGCCAGCAGCCGCGGUAAUACGAAGGUGGCGAGCGUUGUUCGGAAUCACUGGGCUUAAAGAGCACGUAGGUGGAUGAUCAAGCGUCUUGUGAAAGCCCUCGGCUUAACCGGGGAAUUGCUUGGCGAACUGGUCAUCUUGAGGCAGGUAGGGGCAAGUGGAACUCUUGGUGGAGCGGUGGAAUGCGUAGAUAUCAAGAGGAACGCCAGAGGCGAAGGCGACUUGCUGGGCCUGUCCUGACACUGAGGUGCGAAAGCCAGGGUAGCGAACG